rnacentral:rRNA from 1 species
UCGAGGAUCUUCGGCAAUGGGCGCAAGCCUGACCGAGCGACGCCGCGUGUGGGAUGAAGGCCUUCGGGUUGUAAACCACUGUCAGAGGGGAUGAAAUGCGUAGGGGUUCUCUCCUACGUUUGACAUAGCCUCAGAGGAAGUACGGGCUAAGUUCGUGCCAGCAGCCGCGGUAAGACGAACCGUACGAACGUUAUUCGGAAUCACUGGGCUUAAAGGGUGCGUAGGCGGCGGCGCAAGUUGGGUGUGAAAUCCCUCGGCUCAACCGAGGAACUGCGCUCAAAACUGCGUCGCUUGAGGGAGAUAGAGGUGAGUGGAACUUAGGGUGGAGCGGUGAAAUGCGUUGAUAUCCUAAGGAACACCAGUGGCGAAAGCGACUCACUGGGUCUCUUCUGACGCUGAGGCACGAAAGCUAGGGUAGCGAACGG